rnacentral:piRNA from 1 species
UGUCAGCGUCUUUGACAAGUAGGGC